GCUCGAUCGUAAGGGAAGACUAUCAUGGCGACGGUGCGAGAUAACCUCGAGCUCUUUCGAACGUUCUUUUAUCCAUUUACUAUACUUUCUAAGAUUUAACUGGUGAUUUACGGAGUAUGUCUAUUGGUGUCGAAACAAUCGGAGAACGAGUAAUACCUACUUAACUCGAAUCGUGCUUUACAGAUAGGAGUAGUUUCAUUCAAGAUGGAGAACAAACGUGAAAAGAAAAUGGAACGAUCUGCGUGCAAGUCCUUAUAUAUAUAUAUAUAUAUAUAUAUAUAUAUAUAUAUAUAUAUAUAUAUAUAACGAAUAACAGGAAGAUUGGUAUGAUCUAAUCAUGGAAUCUACUUCGAGCCCUGAACAAAGCAAACUGAACAACCUUAGUUCGUAAGAUGAUCUUAGAGGGAAGAGAAAGACGAGAAUCCAAUCAAAACCGAAUAGAAGAGGCCAUCGAAUAUCCAACGACUACGUUUGCCUUCUGCGAAGCAAUUAUCCCUUUUGCUAAGAAUGGUCUUAGGGACGUAAUUAAUCUCCUUGGCAAUCAACGUUAACAACACUAUGAACAUUACUCGUUCCAAAAAAUUUCCGAGGAAUACGAAACGAUACGUGUCGGUCUUCUUCCAACAAGAGACUGCUCGCGCUUCGGUAGUUUACUUUAGGUAUAAACACAACGGUUCGGCGGGUAAACGACGAGGUGACGUAGAAAAAAAAA